UACGAAGGGGGCUAGCGUUGUUCGGAAUUACUGGGCGUAAAGCGCGCGUAGGCGGUGAUCUUUGUCAGAGGUGAAAGCCCGGGGCUCAACCCCGGAAUUGCCUUUAAGACUGCAUCGCUUGAAUCCGGGAGAGGUGAGUGGAAUUCCGAGUGUAGAGGUGAAAUUCGUAGAUAUUCGGAAGAACACCAGUGGCGAAGGCGGCUCACUGGACCGGUAUUGACGCUGAGGUGCGAAAGCGUGGGGAGCAAACAGG
rnacentral:rRNA from 1 species